rnacentral:tRNA from 1 species
CAUCAAAUAGCUUAAAGUAAGCAAAAGCCUCUUAAGCUUUGAUAUAUCAGUUAACGAUUGAUUUUGAUGG